rnacentral:lncRNA from 1 species
UUUUUUUUUUUUUUUUUUCCCGUCAGUUCUCUUUGGUGGCCUUAGAAGUUGUGUCUGUAGGCUGGGAUUACGGGCAUGAGCCACUGCUCCCGGCUGGGAACUAAACUUUUUAAAGAAAUCAUAUUCUAUUUUUACUCUAGCAGUGUCACACCUCUUUGCUAGGUGGUUCAUCACCUUUACUUAUACCAAGGUGUGCCCAGGGUCUUUUCUGGGCAGGAAAUAUCACUAGUCCACAACAUACUUUAUCUUUUUUUUGACAAAAUAUGUAAUCGACUGACAUAGCAGAAAGUCUGCAUUAAUUGUUUUUUGUUUGUUGUUUUCUAGUACUACUAUAAUUCCUUGACCCAGCAGUACCUUUACUGGGAUGGGGAAAAAGAGACCUACGUGCCAGCUGCAGAGUCUAGCUCCCACCAGCAGUCGGGCCUGCCUCCUGC